GAAGGAACUAGCCAGGAUAAAAUGCGAGGAACAGAAUUUCAGAGCAGAAACUGAAAGGAAAGCAGAGGACGGAAGUGCCGAUAAAAAGAUGGAAUAAUGGCUGGACUCCAGAGCUAUUUUCCUGGGCCACAGUUUGGUGAACACUGUAUUAAAUCAUAGACCCACCGAAUAUUAAAGGAGGAAGAAACUUGAAGAUUGCCUAAUCCAACCCCAUCAUUUUUACAGAUGAGGGAACUAAGCUCAGGGGAUUAAGUGGCUCAUCUACAGUCACAAGCAAGUUAGUAACUGAAUCUGAACCAAAACCCGAAUAUUCUGUUUAAUGGUUUAAUUUAUUUCCCAAAAUCAUGCUCUCCCUCUAAAUAGUAUUUUUUAAUUUUUUGUAAAGCCACUAUACUCACACGGUUAAAAGUUUAUAAAAGGUAGACAGCAAAAGGUUUACUUACUUUAGAUCAAAAAUUAUAAAAUGCAGCCAAUCAUCUUGUGAUUUCAGGCAGAAUGGAAGGUUGAACAAGAUGGUUCUAGAAUGUCAGAAGCAUGUUUUGGUUGCUUUUGGUUAUGUAUGAGAAGGUAUUACAAAAAAAAAAAAGUGAGCUCAGAAAAGUGACGGUCAUUUCAAUGUUAAGAGGGAAGAAGCAUUAUGUGUUUCCACUUGGUCUCUUGAGCCUCUAUCAUCAGCAUAAAAUCACGCCUGGUUAGCUAGUUUCUAUCUCCAAAAGAGUUACAGCCACAUAAAGAAGACUUGGAGCCACAGACUUGCCUCCUGAGGCAGAGCUGCCUCAGCCAAACCGCAGAUUCUUGAAAAUUAGUUAUGGUUUUAACUCCUGAUUUUGUGCAUUAUUCUAACAAUUAGGUAAAAUAUAAAUGUGUAACAUUGCAAAUAUAUAUUCUCUGUAUUUGUAUUUUAUUGGUCAACUGUAAAUGACCUUCUUUGACUCCAAGAUGAGACAAUCAGAAAAUUAUUCUUCUUUCAGUCUUUUCCUACCUUCUCUUUCCUACUUUUUCUCUUAUUAUUUCUUCAUUGUCAGAGAAUAUACCUUUGCCUUCUCUCACUUAACCAUAAUUGUCACAUUUAUUUUACAGUCAAACAUAUUCAAAGUUUUCUGCCAGUUCUUUUGUCAUGUUUUUAUCAAUCUUUCCUAAUGAGCUGAAGUCUCUUCCUCUAGUGUUUGUCUUAAGAUGGUCUCUUGGGAAUAAAAUUCCCAGUUUCUUGCAUAUUUAAAACAAUGAUCUGUAACUUUAUACUUGAGUAUCGCUCGUCUGCAUACAAAAUCCUGGGUUCAUGCUUCCUAUCCUUAAGUAUCUUUUAGAUGUUGUUCCACUGACUUCUGGUGUUGACAAUUUCCAUAGAGAAAUCUGAGGCUAGACUUAUUUGCUUCCCCCCUACAACUGUCUUAAUAUUUUGCCUGUCUAUCUUUAAUGUCCAACAUUUUUGAUAGACUAUGUCUUGGCCUGCUCUAGGUCAGUUUUCUAUACCAGAAGGUGAUCCUUUUUCUUAUGAAAAGUCAAGUCUGUUCUUCUUUCAUGAAUUUUUUUUUUGGUGGCAAAAUACACAUAACAUAAAGUUUACCACUUUAAUCUUUUUUCAGUAUACAGUUCAGUGACAUUAAGUACCUUCACAUUGUUGUGCAAUCAUCAGUAGCAUCUGUCUGAAGAAUUUGUCAUCUUCCCAAACUGAAACUCCAUACCCACUAAACAAUAACUCUUCAUUUCCUCUUCCCCACAGCGCCUGGCAACCACCAUCCACCAUUUUACUUUCUAUGAAUUUGAUUCUUUUAUUCCACAUAAGUGUAAUCGUACCAUAUUUGUUCAUUUGUGAUUGUCCAUGAAUUUUUUAAAAAUUAUACCUUUCUAUAUAGUUUUCCAUUAUUUGGUUUUCUUAUUUCGCUUCCUUCAACAGGGACUCCAAUUAUGCCUAUACUACCUAAUUUAAAUAGCUAACAUUUUAAGUUAUUUUUGUCUUUUUCUUUCAUAUUUUAGUUUUCUAUUCUCCAUCUCACUAUAUUUUUUAUAGCAACAAUUUUUCUUUGUGGUCUUCUUUCCCUAUAUUUUUGCAAAAAUUCAUAUUAUCUACUUUUUUUUUCUGAGAUAAGACAGAUCAAAACUCAGCUCACAUCUUCCUCGACAUCUCUUGCCUGAGUUCUCUAUUUGUGUUUCCAGUCUAACGCCAUGAAGGCUGUUGUUUAAUGAGGUUGUUUUUCUCAAUAUAUGCUGAGAUAUUUGUCCCUAACUAUCACAGGCACCAUGACAAUGUUUUGACUCUGUGGUGCGCAUUGUGCUUCAUUUUGUGUACUAUCAGUGUAUGGAUGCAGUUCCAGUC
rnacentral:lncRNA from 1 species